rnacentral:rRNA from 1 species
UACGAAGGGGGCUAGCGUUGCUCGGAAUCACUGGGCGUAAAGCGCACGUAGGCGGAUCUUUAAGUCGAACGUGAAAUCCCCGGGCUCAACCCGGGAACUGCGUCCGAUACUGGCAGGCUUGAAUCCGGGAGAGGGAUGCGGAAUUCCAGGUGUAGCGGUGAAAUGCGUAGAUAUCUGGAGGAACACCGGUGGCGAAGGCGGCAUCCUGGACCGGUAUUGACGCUGAGGCGCGAAAGCCAGGGGGGGCAAACGAG